rnacentral:rRNA from 1 species
AGUCACUGACAUUAGAUACCCGCGUAGUCCCAGCCGUAAACAAUGUGCGUUAGGUGUGUCGGUAACCACGCGUUACUGAUGCGCCGAAGAGAAAUCGUGAAACGCACCACCUGGGAAGUACGGUCGCAAGGCUGAAACUUAAAGGAAUUGGCGGGGGAGCACCACAACAGGUGGAGCCUGCGGUUUUAAUUGGAUUCAACGCCGGACAUCUCACCGGAUAAGACAGCUGAAUGAUUGUCAAUCUGAAGGUUUUACAUGACUAGCUG